rnacentral:rRNA from 1 species
CCCGUACCGGGUUGGUAAACUGCUUUUGUCAGGGGAAGUAAACCCCCAACUAUGUAUAUGGGGCUGAAUGUACUCUGAGAAUAAGGAUCGGCUAACUCCGUGC